rnacentral:rRNA from 1 species
AUUGAACGCUGGCGGCAGGCCUAACACAUGCAAGUCGAGCGAGCGGCGGACGGGUGAGUAACGUCUGGGAAACUGCCUGAUGGAGGGGGAUAACUACUGGAAACCGUAGCUAAUACCGCAUACCACCAGAUUUGCCCAGAUGGGAGGAGCGAGUGGGGGGGGUAACGGCUCACCUAGGCGACGAUCCCUAGCUGGUCUGCGAGGAUGACCAGCCACAUGGGAACUGAGCAACGGUCCAGACCCCAACGGGAGGAAGCAGUGGGGAAUAUUGGACAAUGGGCGCAAGCCGGAUGAAGCCAUGCCGGUUGUGUGAAGAAGGCCUUCGGGUUGUAAAGCACGUUCAGCGGGGAGGCGUUACCCGCAGAAGAAGCACCGGCUAACUCCGUGCCAGCAGCCGCGGUAAUAC